rnacentral:tRNA from 1 species
GGCUCGGUAGCUAAAUCGGUAAAGCACUAGUGUAGCUGUAGCAUUAAAGGGUCGUGAGUUAAAAUCUCACUUGAGCUG